CGCUUAAAGGGGCCGCGCGCGGCUGCGGGCCGGGCCGUGUCGCAUGCCCGCCGUCCUGGCUCCGCCCCGCGCUCCCUGGCCCCCAGGCCGGGUGAGUCACCCCCACGGUCCCACCGCUCUCACUCUGGUGCUGGGGGGUGGUCGGGGCGGGGGCCUAGAGGUAGUGCUUCCUGGGGCUCUGGGUAGGGGUUAAGAGGCUGGAGAGGCCCUUCUCGUCGAGGAGCUGCAUCCGCUUCUCUCUGGUUGGGGUGAUCUGUGUGUCCUGGCCCUCCACGUGCCCAGAUCUGUUGUCCAGGGUGAAGAAUUCGGGCUCUGGGUGGUUUGUUAAGACCUCCCGAAGAGUGACCGCUGUGCCCGUGUUCAGUAAUAUCCAACUGCA